rnacentral:tRNA from 1 species
AGGCCUUGGGGUGUCACACGUGCGAUUGCAAAUCUCAAGAAGCAGAAUAAGUUUCUGCCGGGGCUUC